UUUUUUAAUUGAAAACUUGUAUGAAAGGUUAAAUGAAAUAUAAGCUGUUUCAAAUAAAAUAAAUUAUAGAACUUUAUUUUUUAAUUAAAAAGUUAAAAUUUAUUUAAAGGACGAGAAGACCCUAUAAAGUUUAAUAAAUUAUUUUUAUUAAAUUAUUUAAUAAUAUUAAAUGUUUUACAAUUAAUUUAUUUUGUUGGGGUGACAAUAAAAUUUAAUAAACUUUUAUUUUUAAAAUCAUUGAUUUAUGAAUAAUUGAUCUAAUAUUAUUGAUUAAAAAUUUAAAUUACUUUAGGGAUAACAGCGUAAUUUUUUUUUUAAGUUCAAAUUUAUAAAAAAUUUUGC
rnacentral:rRNA from 1 species